UGGUUAUCGGGUCCGUUUUUU
rnacentral:siRNA from 1 species